rnacentral:misc_RNA from 1 species
GAAACAACUUCCUAAAUGUUGGGCUGCUCAGAAAAGAAUCACCAAUUGAGAAAUUAGAGAUUAAAAAUGGAUAUGGGAAGGAAAGAUUUGACCAAGUGUUGGACAAGGCUAGCUAUUGUAAAUUCUAUCUUAAAUAACAAUGCACAUGUAAUAGAUCAAAGCUUAAAGAAAGUUAAGAUGGCAAUGACCAAGAAAAGCAUAAAACUUUUCAAUGUCGACGCACAUGAUAGCUAGUGGACAGGGAAACAAGAAACCUUGUUUGAAAUUGAAAAGAUAAGCAAAGAAAGAGAAACACCCAACAACCAAUAACAAUAGCAAUGACCAUAAAGGGGCACAUUCUUGCAUUGGCUGGUCGCCAUGUAUAUAUAUAUAUAUGAAGUAAAGGUAAUAUUUUGCAGCAAACAGUAAGAAAUAGAACAUAAAAGC